rnacentral:rRNA from 1 species
UACGUAGGGGGGCAAGCGUUGUCCGGAUUUAUUGGGCGUAAAGAGCGUGUAGGCGGCCUGAAAGGUCAGCUGUGAAAACUCGAGGCUUACCUCGAGACGUCGGUUGAAACCAUCUGGCUAGAGUCCGGAAGAGGAGAGUGGAAUUCCCGGUGUAGCGGUGAAAUGCGCAGAUAUCGGGGAAGAACACCCGUGGCGAAGGCGGCUCUCUGGGACGGUACUGACGCUGAGACGCGAAAGCGUGGGGGAGCGAACAGG